UACGUAGGGUGCGAGCGUUAAUCGGAUUUACUGGGCGUAAAGGGUGCGUAGGCGGACUUUCAAGCCAGGGGUGAAAGGCAUAGGCUUAACCAAUGUAAGCCUUUGGAACUGGGAGUCUUGAGUGCAGGAGAGGUAAGUGGAAUUCCUAGUGUAGAGGUGAAAUUCGUAGAUAUAUGGAGGAACACCGGUGGCGAAAGCGGCUCUCUGGCCUGUAACUGACGCUCAUGCACGAAAGCGUGGGUAGCAAACAGG
rnacentral:rRNA from 1 species